rnacentral:rRNA from 1 species
ACGCACGCUGGCGGCGUGCUUCACCCCUGCCAGUCGAACGGAAAGGCCCUGCUUUUGUGGGGUGCUCGAGUGGCGAACGGGUGAGUAACACGUGGGUAACCUGCCCUUGACUUUGGGAUAACUUCAGGAAACUGGGGCUAAUACCGGAUAGGAGCUCCUGCUGCAUGGUGGGGGUUGGAAAGUUUCGGCGGUUGGGGAUGGACUCGCGGCUUAUCAGCUUGUUGGUGGGGUAGUGGCUUACCAAGGCUUUGACGGGUAGCCGGCCUGAGAGGGUGACCGGCCACAUUGGGACUGAGAUACGGCCCAGACUCCUACGGGAGGCAGCAGUGGGGAAUAUUGCACAAUGGGCGGAAGCCUGAUGCAGCAACGCCGCGUGCGGGAUGACGGCCUUCGGGUUGUAAACCGCUUUCGCCUGUGACGAAGCGUGAGUGACGGUAAUGGGUAAAGAAGCACCGGCUAACUACGUG